rnacentral:rRNA from 1 species
CAGCAGCCACGGUAAUACAGAGGUCCCGAGCGUUGUUCGGAUUCACUGGGCGUAAAGGGUGUGUAGGAGGUUGGAUAAGUCAGGUGUGAAAUCCCGCAGCUCAACUGCGGAACUGCAUUCGAUACUGUUCAACUAGAGGAUCGGAGGGGGAAGCGGAAUUCUUGGUGUAGCGGUGAAAUGCGUAGAUAUCAAGAGGAACACCGGUGGCGAAGGCGGCUUCCUGGAAGAUACCUGACUCUGAAACACGAAAGCCAGGGGAGCGAAUGGGAUUAGAUACCCCGGUAGUCCCUGUCUCUUAUAC